rnacentral:rRNA from 1 species
UACAGAGGGGGCAAGCGUUGUUCGGAAUUACUGGGCGUAAAGGGCGCGUAGGUGGCCUUCUAAGUUGAACGUGAAAUCCCUGGGCUCAACCCAGGAACUGCGUCCAAGACUGGGAGGCUUGAAUCCGGGAGAGGGAUGCGGAAUUCCAGGUGUAGCGGUGAAAUGCGUAGAUAUCUGGAGGAACACCGGUGGCGAAGGCGGCAUCCUGGACCGGGAUUGACACUGAGGAGCGAAAGCCAGGGGAGCAAACGGG